UGGCCUCGGAUUCCGUCGCCGCUGGUUGAUGAGGCGGCACCGGUCCGGCAGGAGUGGCCACCGGUCAUUCGGUUGAAGCUCUUGUGAACACCAGCCCACAUCCCCCUCCCCCUUUGCGCGCAGCUUAGACGGGGCGAAACGUUGGACGCAAAGCUGACGGCGGCGAUGGAAUCCGAAGGGCGGCGAACAAGCCGAAAACCGACCGAAAGGUGCAAUCGCAUACGAAACGACCUGAUGGUACAGCAGCGGCGGUAGCGGCGUGGGAGAGAGAGAGAGGAGAACAAAAAAAGAAUGGAGGAAGACUUGGUGGAAACUGAGGAUGGACGGAGAGAAAUGGAGAGAGAGAGAGAGAGAUGACUCGACUCCAAUGGAAUGAAGGGGGGGAUUGAUCCCUCUAGCUGACGAUGAUUCACUGCAACCGCCGAUGGGAAGCACCGCCCAGCCAUUUGUCCAGAUCGAGCUCUCUGCCGUUCGUUGCUUCCAGCACCCACCGAAUGUGCUGCGUCCUCUGAGCAGAAGGCGUUCGGUGAAUUGCGCAAGAGAGAAACAAAGGGUGAGACGAUUUUGAAACAACAAACAGAGGAAGAUACGCCUAGAGAAAUCUCCACAGACAGCCGGUUCCUCGUGACAAUCAGGCGAUGACGGAAUUUCUCGAUCAACAGUCACACUUGCCCGGUCGUUCAUCUCCGAUUGAACUCUAGAAAUAUUUUAGAUUCAUCCCAAAUUUGUCUGUUGACUUCUAUUUCGGCUUUUGUUUUCUCCCAUUCUCUCGCGGUAUUCCGAAUUUCCAUUGCCGUCGGUUGCACUGUGGGGCAGGAAUCGAGUUCGCAAGGAAGGUGUUUGAUGGAAUGACGAAGCCGGACUCUGCUCUGAAGAAUACCUUUUCAAGAGAGAGAGAAUCGGUGAGCUUUAUCUGGCUGUGAGAGCAAGUUCAAGUCCAAGAGCGCAAGAUGUCAAUUCUCAGACAAAACCCGGAGGCUCGGAUGCUGUGUAGUGUUGAGAGAGGUUGCGGAAGAGUUGUGCUGCAGCGACGCGGUUACAGAGUUAUGCUACUGCGGUGAAAGAGAUGACUGUGAGAGAGGCUCUGAAUACAGCGCUUGAUAAGGAAAUGCCUGCUUAUACUAGAGUCAAUCUAAUGGGUGAGGAGGUCGGAGAAUACCAAGGAGCCUUUCAAGGUGUCUUAAAGGUUCUUUUGCAGAAGUAUGGACCUGAGAGGGUUGUUGAUGCUCCUAUCACAGAGGCUGGUUUCACUGGAGUUGAAGUCGAGCCUACAAGGUGUCUUUAGUUUCAAGAGGAGCUGCAGCACGAGUUGGUGCCCGACACUCCCAAGCCCUGCGAGGACGUCGCCAUCCCAUCUGGAGGAAGCUUUACCGGAUCCGGUCUCGUUAAAUCACUCAUCACCCUCAGGAUCUAUGGGACACGAGAAUCGUCCAUGGCGUACGGAAUGAGAGUUGCUCAUGAACUGUGUAACAUCUCUGUGCAGUGUAGGAAAAUGGUGAACUCCUGAAGCUCACUCCUAGGCAACAUCGUUGAUUAUGGGCCCUUUGCUGCAUUUAUUUCUCUUGUAUACAUGUAUUUAGUGACAGCAGAUUAGAGCAUGCAGACUCUCUGGAAAUACAAAUCAUGGAGAUCUGAGGAAGUAUCUUCGUGGAUAUUUCGACACUACAUGGGGGAAAAAGUACAGUUAUGUAAUGAUACCGGAGUCAUGAGUAGUCGAUAAGCCAUCAGAGGUAUUAUUUGUGAUUGUUGUCUAACAAGAAGCUGUAACUGAUGUCUUUCUCUCGCGAAUGCCCGCCAAUCGGCAGAGAAGGACAGAUACUAUGUCCCUCUGGCCGGUCCAAGGCUCCUAAUGAGCUUCAUUGCCCACAGAUCUGUCCGAAUACUGAAGAGAUGAUAUUUGUUUGUUUUCCUGAAUAUGUUGCUUGGCGAAUCCAACCGGAGCACCUUGGACAUGUACAUGUUUUGAACAGCUUAUACUUGAAAAUUGUUAAAUUGAA